rnacentral:lncRNA from 1 species
UUUUUUCUGUUUUUUAUUAAAUCCCACAAUUUGCACAGAAAAUAUAUAUGACAUAGAUAUAUUUCACAGGCAUUCAUCACAUAAACAAGUUCAUACAUCAUUUCAUACAUAAACAAGUUGAUCCAUCCAUCAUUUCAUACAUAAACAAGUUCCAUCCAUCAUUUCAUACAUAAAGAAGUUCCAUCCAUACAUAAAGAAGCACUCCAUAGCUAAGGUGACUAGAAUGAGAAGACAAGAAUGAGAAGACAAGAACAAGAAGAGUAGAACAAGCACUCCAUCCAGCACAUAAUGAAAUC